rnacentral:pre_miRNA from 1 species
UUUCUACUCCCUCCAUUCGGAAUUACUUGUCUUGAAAAUGGACGUAUUAAGACGUAUUUUAGUUUUAGAUACAUCCAUUUUUGAGAUAAGUAAUUCCAAACAGAGGGAGUAGUAU